UUUUAAUUUAUAAGUUAACCCUAAAUCUCCUCCCACCCAUCUGCCCCUUCACUCAUCCCUUCACUGCAACUCUUGCGGCGGCUGAUUCCUUCCCGAUCGGCUGCGGCACAGGUUUCAAUUUGGCAUGAUCUCAGUGUAGUUGAAGACAACUGUAUUUGUUCACGUCUUUUCGGUAAAAUGCAGAAUGAGCGAAGUUGGAUGUAUAACAAGAAUUCAAGUAUAAUGCAGAAUGAGGAAGAGGAGGAGGAGGAGGAGGAGGAGGAUGAUAAUCAUAAUGAUGACUUUAAUUUUUGAC